rnacentral:rRNA from 1 species
GCUCCUCGUUCAUACUUUAAAUAUGGGGAGUCGAGCCUGCCCAAUGAAUUAAAUUUUAAUGGCCGCGGUACUUUGACCGUGCAAAGGUAGCAUAAUCACUUGUUUAUUAAUUGUAGACUGGAAUGAAUGGUGUGACGAAGGGUAGACUGUCUUUUAUUAGUUUUUUAGAAUUUAAUUUUUAAGUUAAAAAGCUUAAAUUUAAUUAAUAGACGAGAAGACCCUGACGAGCUUUAGCUUAAACUAGGUGAGUCUAGUCUUUAUGUGUUGGUUGGGGCGACUAAGGAACAGGUAAAGCUUCUUUUUAAGGUACCAGGAUCCGAUAAAUAUCGAUACAAGGGAAUAGCUACCGCAGGGAUAACAGCAUAAUUCUCCUAGAGAGCUCCAAUCGAAAGGGGAGUUUGUGACCUCGAUGUUGGACUAGAGUAUCCGGGGGGUGCAGCAGCUUCCGAUGGUCGGUCUGUUCGACCGUUAAAACUCUA